rnacentral:rRNA from 1 species
AUUGAACGCUGGCGGCAUGCCUUACACAUGCAAGUCGAACGGUAACGCGGGGGCAACCCUGGCGACGAGUGGCGAACGGGUGAGUAAUACAUCGGAACGUACCCAGUAGUGGGGGAUAGCUCGGCGAAAGCCGGAUUAAUACCGCAUACGACCUAUGGGUGAAAGCGGGGGAUCGCAAGACCUCGCGCUAUUGGAGCGGCCGAUGUCGGAUUAGCUAGUUGGUGAGGUAAAGGCNCACCAAGGCUACGAUCCGUAGCUGGUCUGAGAGGACGACCAGCCACACUGGGACUGAGACACGGCCCAGACUCCUACGGGAGGCAGCAGUGGGGAAUUUUGGACAAUGGGCGCAAGCCUGAUCCAGCCAUGCCGCGUGUGUGAAGAAGGCCUGGUUGUAAG